rnacentral:rRNA from 1 species
AAAUUGAAGAGUUUGAUCAUGGCUCAGAUUGAACGCUGGCGGCAGGCCUAACACAUGCAAGUUGAACGGUAACAGGAAGCAGCUUGCUGCUUUGCUGACGAGUGGCGGACGGGUGAGUAAUGUCUGGGAAACUGCCUGAUGGAGGGGGAUAACUACUGGAAACGGUGGCUAAUACCGCAUAACGUCGCAAGACCAAAGAGGGGGACCUUCGGGCCUCUUGCCAUCAGAUGUGCCCAGAUGGGAUUAGCUUGUUGGUAAGGUAACGGCUCACCAAGGCGACGAUCCCUAGCUGGUCUGAGAGGAU